UUUAAUACGUCUGAGUCCCUGCAAUAUUAAGAACAGCACUCGUAAACAAUGCAUUAACUCAUAAAAACGUUUUAAUUUGCGAUUAAAUAUAGAAAAUAACGGGAUACAAAAGGCUAGUGUCUUCCCAGCUACGUAUUACACGAAUUUAUAAAUGUACGUGUAACAUUUCGUGUAACAUGUCACGCUUUAUAUUUUUGUUUACUAAAUAAUGCCCUCUUUUUAAUUAUAAAAAAAAAUACAUACCUCAUGGGUAAAAUUAGGAGCCGCUCAUUUUAUAUUAAAUUACGGAAAACACAUAUGUCAGUCGACCAAGCGGGAAAACUGUAGUAUCCCAGAGGAUUUGGGUAUCCGUAGCUUCACUAACAGUGUUUCACACAGAGUCCCUGCUCUUGUUGAAGGCGUAAAUAUAUUGUAGCAAUUAUGGGGCAUUACUGGUUGUUACUGCCAAUUAAUUGCAUUUGUAACAGUUUACACUUGUUUAGAGUCUUGGUUCAUUUGUGUAUUUAGCUAUCCAACAGCUGGAUGCUGCUUCACGGCGUUUGUCGCUGUUCCUGUGUGGCACGUUGUUUAAACUGUGUUGGUUUGUAGUACAAAUAUGUAAAUAUAGCUGUCAGGGAUUAUGGGAGAUCAUCGCGCUUCUCAUGGAAGAAAGCGUGGGGCUUUGAUAAUUAGAUAUUUUAUGGGGGUUUGCUUGGUUGUUAGGACCCAGGAGUGCGAUACGGUUCCGACAGUAGAUUUGUAAUUUGUUUAUUAAUUACUGCCAUUGUUAAACGACAGCUGUGAAAUGUCAGCUCAACUGACAGAUGGAAUUGUUUCUACACGGGAUGACGAACAGGCGAGAGAGAAUCGGAGGAGCGCGGCCCAGACGCCAAACAGGCAGAGACCAACACCGAAACUACCAGGAGAUCUUACCGGAUAAUCAGCGGAAACAGAAACUUGUGUCAAGUAAGCAUAAUACGAUGAACUAUAAAUUCCCGCACAGGGUGUCCCCUGCUUUACGUCCUGUUCUUCUUGACAUUGGCGCCAGUCUCAGCACAACUCUGUACUCGACAGUCGGCUAUGGAAGAGGGAGGAAUUGCCCAAGGAAUUGUCCCACAUGACCGCAACACCGAAUUGGAAAAACAGUACAUCCAAAUUAAUGUUAAAAUUUUGUUUUAAAUAGAUGGGUUACAUAUUAAAUUAGCUGUUCGUUUUUUAAUUGGAGUGACCGCUUUAUUUGUCUGGUUGUCUUUACAGGAAAGAACUGGGAGGCUGGUUGUUUUCCUGUAACUGGGAAGUUUUGACAUUUCCAUUAUAGAAUCAUGAUUUUUCCAGUACUAUGAUUUUAAAGUCACUUAAUCCAGAUAAUACCAAAUGCACGCAAUAACUUUAUUAUGCAAAUUAUGUUCAUUAAUAUUAAAACUGGAAGUUCACUCAGUCAAACAAACCUAAGUCAUUAAAAUUAAAAGUGUGCUGUCAGUGGCUUGUGUCCCAUUCAAAUGACAACAGGUGGCACAUGGAGGAAGGGCAUGAAGAUGAGGUUGGGGGAAAAGGGAAGACACUUCAAAGAGCUCCCCCACCUGCGGGACAGGUGCCAUGCACCCAGGCACAGCCCCAGGUGGGAUUUGUCCACCCUUCCAGUUCACAGUUCUUGGUUCACGCUGACAACUGAUCUUCUUUCUGUGAAAAAUAAAUGAGUUUAAUAACUGUGA